rnacentral:rRNA from 1 species
CGGAGGAUCCAAGCGUUAUCCGGAAUUACUGGGCGUAAAGAGUUGCGUAGGUGGCAUAGUAAGUUAGUAGUGAAAGCGUGGGGCUCAACCUCAUAUCCAUUACUAAAACUGCUAAGCUAGAGGAUGAGAGAGGUCGCUGGAAUUUCUAGUGUAGGAGUGAAAUCCGUAGAUAUUAGAAGGAACACCGAUGGCGUAGGCAGGCGACUGGCUCAUUCCUGACACUAAGGCACGAAAGCGUGGGGAGCGACCGGGAUUAGAUACCCCGUUAGUCCACGCCGUAAACGAUGGAUGCUAGCUGUAUUACGUAUCGACCCGUGAUGUAGCGAAGCUAACGCGUUAAGCAUCCCGCCUGUGGAGUACGAGCGCAAGCUUA